CCUACGGGAGGCUGCAGUGGGGAAUAUUGGACAAUGGGGGCAACCCUGAUCCAGCCAUGCCGCGUGUGUGAAGAAGGCCCUCGGGUUGUAAAGCACUUUCAGUGAGGAAGAACGCCUGGUGGUUAAUACCCAUCAGGAAAGACAUCACUCACAGAAGAAGCACCGGCUAACUCCGUGCCAGCAGCCGCGGUAAUACGGAGGGUGCGAGCGUUAAUCGGAAUUACUGGGCGUAAAGCGCGCGUAGGUGGCUUGAUAAGCCGGUUGUGAAAGCCCCGGGCUCAACCUGGGAACGGCAUCCGGAACUGUCAAGCUAGAGUGCAGGAGAGGAAGGUAGAAUUCCCGGUGUAGCGGUGAAAUGCGUAGAGAUCGGGAGGAAUACCAGUGGCGAAGGCGGCCUUCUGGACUGACACUGACACUGAGGUGCGAAAGCGAGGGUAGCAAACAGGAUUAGAUACCCUUGUAGUC
rnacentral:rRNA from 1 species